rnacentral:misc_RNA from 1 species
UUUCCGUAGGUGAACCUGCGGAAGGAUCAUUCAUAAUAAGUGUUUUAUGGCACUUUUUUAAAUCCAUAUCCACCUUGUGUGCAAUGUCAGGGUUGAUUUUUCUCUCGAGAGGAUCAACCCCAAACAUCGACUAUAUCUCAACUCUUUGUCUGAAAAAUAUUAUGAAUAAAACAAUUCAAAAUACAACUUUCAACAACGGAUCUCUUGGCUCUC